GCAGACACAUUCCAGCCGAUCAGCAGCAGACCCACCCUCCCAGACCCUCCCAACUCCUGGACAGCAUCCAUUUUGAAGCUGCAUUCUUAGUGAGCUGUCCAGGAGGUGGGAGGGUCUGGGAGGGAGGGUCUGCUGCUGAUUGGCUGGAAUGUGUCUG